rnacentral:snRNA from 1 species
AUCACUUCUUGGCCUUUUGGCCAAGAUCAAGUGUAGUAUCUGUUCUUAUCAAAAGAAAGUUAGUGAAGAUUGUUACAUCUCACUAUGGAGCCAUUAAGACCUUGUAUAAGAGAUUACAAGGAUGUUGUUACAGGUU